AGAAUAGUCAAUGAAUAUUCAGUUGGUCACUCAUGUAUAGCUCUAUUUAUUUUCUUUAGAAACCAGUUUGAAGAUACCAAAGUACAGUACAACAACCAUUGAUAAUAACCAACCACUUUUGUCUGUAGCUCACUAUUAUUUGUCUGUGUAUGUUCCUGAGAAUCUGUCUUGCAGAUUACAAUAUGUAGAACAACAACCAUUGAUAAUUUCCUACCACUUUGUCUGUAAUUCGGACGAUUUUCACAAAGAUUCCAAGGUAUACCUAUAUAGAUCCUGAUUUUGAAUAUAGUGAAAUUGAAAAAAUUGAGAAGAAAGUAAAUCGAACGUACUAUUCAAAUCAUAUCAACAGUUUAAGACGUAUGCGCCUGCAGAAAGAAGCAAUGAGUAAGAAAAUCGUGUAUUCAGACAAUGCUCCAGAGGUAAACAUGCUGCUAGCAUCCGGUCUAAAGUCGCCCUCACUCUCUCAAGAGGAAAUACAAGAGGAGUGGUCUUCCAUGGAGUAUCCAAUCAAAGCUAGCCAAUUGUUAUGCACCAAGGGAAUGGCAUCCAAGGAGAGAGUGUCCUUGGAGAGAAAGGUUCUCAAAAAACUGAAACCAAACCCAACCACUCCUCAAGAAAAACAUGAUUGCAGCAUAAUUUUGACACCGAAGCAAAUUCAUCAAGUAAUUGUCGGGCCCUCUGUCCUUAACUUUGGUAAUAUUUGUGUGAACUCCACAAAUACGCAUUCAUUGCAUCUUAUUAAUAUGCUGUCUAUGCAUAUUUUGAUUCAGUUAGAUAUCAAUUUUGAAGAACUUAAGAAAACUAAAAUAUUUUCACAUGUGAUUCCUCCUACAUCUAGUACUCACAUUCCAAUAAUAUUUGAAGCUUCUGCCAUUGGAAAAUUUUGGAGGUCUUUCGCCUUCACAGGAAACAGCACACCUGGUGGGCACAUUUUAGUGACCGCAGAAGUCCUGCCUAUAAAACUUGAGCUAUCUUUGGAUGAGAUAGUGUUGAAACCACGAGGUUUCUUGGUGAAAACAUGCUUCUGGGGGACAGUUAAGUUGUAUAAUCAUCAGAAUAAGUCUGCGCAGUUUGGAUGGCAACCAGUAAACUCACUAAACGGGAUAGCGUUUUCCAUUCGUCCAGCUAAAGGCAUUGUUGAAGCAUAUUCAUCACUGAAAUGUGAGGUAACGUGGCACCCAGGUUUCACUUCUCCAGCAAGAGGCAAAUUUAUUCUUCAUGUUAUUGAUGGAAACACGUUAACACUACAGUGUAUUGCAAAUGUAAUUAUUUCUCCUGAACAUAAUUUUUUAUCUUGAUGCUGGUAAUUUUUGAAUAUUUGCAUAUGUCUCUACUUAAAUAUGUUUCAUGCAUGUAUAACUAUAUAAUGUAUGCAAGAACUGACCUCUGUGCAGUAUUUAAUUAACCAAAUUGUCUUAGGUCUUUCACGGAUCCUUUUGCCUACCAUGAAUGAAGGCUUUCAUAUAAACAUGUUAUGUUAAUUAAAAUUAGCUCAAAUUGAACAUAGUUUUGGAAAAAUACUAGGCUAUCACUCUGUAAAUACAUAAUAACAUCAUGUGAGCCACUUGAAAUAAAAUUAUUUCAUUAGUAGAUAAAAGAAAAGUAGACUUAUAUUUGACCCUAGUGUAUUGCACUAUUAAUAUUGUAGUAGCAGUAGUUAAUAAUGCAGUAUAGA
ensembl:lincRNA uncharacterized protein CXorf22-like